rnacentral:tRNA from 1 species
UUUCGAUAGUUUAUAAAGAAUCCAAGACUUUUAAUCUUGUGGUGCAAGGGUUUGCUCGAAAAGU